rnacentral:rRNA from 1 species
AUUGAACGCUGGCGGCAUGCCUUACACAUGCAAGUCGAACGGUAACAGGUCUUCGGAUGCUGACGAGUGGCGAACGGGUGAGUAAUACAUCGGAACGUGCCCGAUCGUGGGGGAUAACGGAGCGAAAGCUUUGCUAAUACCGCAUACGAUCUACGGAUGAAAGCAGGGGACCGCAAGGCCUUGCGCGGACGGAGCGGCCGAUGGCAGAUUAGGUAGUUGGUGGGAUAAAAGCUUACCAAGCCGACGAUCUGUAGCUGGUCUGAGAGGACGACCAGCCACACUGGGACUGAGACACGGCCCAGACUCCUACGGGAGGCAGCAGUGGGGAAUUUUGGACAAUGGGCGAAAGCCUGAUCCAGCCAUGCCGCGUGCAGGAUGAAGGCCUUCGGGUUGUAAACUGCUUUUGUACGGAACGAAAAGACUCUUUCUGAUAAAGAGGGUCCAUGACGGUACCGUAAGAAUAAGCACCGGCUAACUACGUG